rnacentral:rRNA from 1 species
UACGUAGGGGGCGAGCGUUGUCCGGAAUCAUUGGGCGUAAAGGGCGCGUAGGUGGUUCUGUAUGUCUACCGUGAAAGCGUACGGCUCAACUGUAUUUUGUCGGUAGAGACUGCAGGACUUGAGGCUGGGAGGGGCUGGUGGAAUUCCCUGUGUAGCGGUGAAAUGCGUAGAGAUGGGGGAGAACACUCGUGGCGAAGGCGGCCAGCUAGACCAGUUCUGACACUGAGGCGCGACAGCGUGGGGAGCAAACAGG